GUCAGCGACCAUACACCGUAGAAAGCACCGGUUCUCAUCCGAUCACCGAAGUUAAGCUACGUUGGGCCCGGUUAGUACUUGCAUGGGUGACCGGCUGGGAAUACCGGGUGUUGCUAACA
rnacentral:rRNA from 1 species